AUUCACAGAAACACAAGCGAAGAAAGGAGGUUUUUCGUAACCAGAAUUAUUUGUGCUGGUAACAAGGUACGAUCCAGGUUUAAUGAAGGACAGUCUUAGUACAGCAAACGUUUGGGGCUUUUACCCUUUAUCAAUGCAUUGUGUCAGAAGACCUGAAUAAUAAAGGGCACAAAACGUUUGCUGCACUAAGACUGUCCUUCAUUAAACCUGGAUCGCACCUUGGUACCAGCACAAAUAAUUCUAUCUGCUUGUGUUUCUGGAUUUCUAGACUUGGGG